rnacentral:rRNA from 1 species
AAGCAAUUAUACAGCGAAACUGCGAAUGGCUCAUUAUAUAAGUUAUCGUUUAUUUGAUAGUGCCUUACUACUUGGAUAACCGUGGUAAUUCUAGAGCUAAUACAUGCUGAAAAUCCCGACUUCGGAAGGGAUGUAUUUAUUAGAUUCAAAACCAAUGCCCUCUGGGCUCACUGGUGAUUCAUGAUAACUCUUCGAAUCGCAUGGCCUUGCGCCGGCGAUGGUUCAUUCAAAUUUCUUCCCUAUCAACUUUCGAUGUUUGGGUAGUGGCCAAACAUGGUUGCAACGGGUAACGGAGGGUUAGGGCUCGACCCCGGAGAAGGAGCCUGAGAAACGGCUACUACAUCCAAGGAAGGCAGCAGGCGCGCAAAUUACCCAAUCCCGACACGGGGAGGUAGUGACAAUAAAUACUGAUACAGGGCUCUUUUGGGUCUUGUAAUUGGAAUGAGUACAAUUUAAAUCCCUUAACGAGGAACAAUUGGAGGGCAAGUCUGGUGCCAGCAGCCGCGGUAAUUCCAGCUCCAAUAGCGUAUAUUAAAGUUGUUGUGGUUAAAAAGCUCGUAGUUGAACCUUGGGCCUGGCUGGCCGGUCCGCCUCACCGCGUGUACUGGCCCGGCCGGGCCUUUCCCUCUGUGGAACCCCAUGCCCUUCACUGGGUGUGGCGGGGAAACAGGACUUUUACUUUGAAAAAAUUAGAGUGCUCCAGGCAGGCCUAUGCUCGAAUACAUUAGCAUGGAAUAAUGAAAUAGGACGCGCGGUUCUAUUUUGUUGGUUUCUAGGACCGCCGUAAUGAUUAAUAGGGACAGUCGGGGGCAUCAGUAUUCAAUUGUCAGAGGUGAAAUUCUUGGAUUUAUUGAAGACUAACUACUGCGAAAGCAUUUGCCAAGGAUGUUUUCAUUAAUCAGGAACGAAAGUUAGGGGAUCGAAGACGAUCAGAUACCGUCGUAGUCUUAACCAUAAACUAUGCCGACUAGGGAUCGGACGAUGUUAUUUUUUGACUCGUUCGGCACCUUACGAGAAAUCAAAGUG